rnacentral:rRNA from 1 species
CUCGUAGGCGGUUUGUCGCGUCUGCCGUGAAAGUCCAGGGCUCAACUCCGGAUCUGCGGUGGGUACGGGCAGACUAGAGUGAUGUAGGGGAGACUGGAAUUCCUGGUGUAGCGGUGAAAUGCGCAGAUAUCAGGAGGAACACCGAUGGCGAAGGCAGGUCUCUGGGCAUUAACUGACGCUGAGGAGCGAAAGCAUGGGGAGCGAACA